rnacentral:rRNA from 1 species
CCUACGGGUGGCAGCAGUGAGGAAUAUUGGUCAAUGGGCGGAAGCCUGAACCAGCCAAGUAGCGUGCAGGAUGACGGCCCUACGGGUUGUACACUGCUGUUAUACGGGAAUAACGCGCCUUACGUGUAGGGCUUUGCAUGUACCGGAUGAAUAAGGACCGGCUAAUCCCGUGCCAGCAGCCGCGGUAAUACGGAAGGUCCGGGCGUUAUCCGGAUUUAUUGGGGUUAAAGGGAGCGUAGGCCGCAUGUCAAGCGUGCCGUGAAAUGUCCGGGCUCAACCCGGGCCUUGCAGCGCGAACUGGCGUGCUUGAGUCCGCGGAAAGCAGGCGGAAUUCGUCGUGUAGCGGUGACAUGCUUAGAUAUAACGAAGAACCCCGAUUGCGAAGGCAGCUUGCUGCAGCGGAACUGACGCUGAUGCUCGAAAGCGCGGGUAUCGAACAGGAUUAGAUACCCGGGUAGUC